GGAGAGGUGGCAGAGUGGUUGAAUGUGGCGGUCUCGAAAACCGUUGUGCGCGCAAGUGUACCGAGGGUUCGAAUCCCUCCCUCUCCG
rnacentral:tRNA from 3 species